AGAGUUUGAUCCUGGCUCAGAUUGAACGCUGGCGGCAUGCCUUACACAUGCAAGUCGAACGAGUGUAGCAAUACAUUCGUGGCGAACGGGUGCGUAACACGUGGAUAACCUUCCUUGAGGUGGGGAAUAACCCAGUGAAAAUUGGGCUAAUACCGCAUAACACGACGGGGGCACAUGCUUUUGUCGUCAAAGGAGCAAUU
rnacentral:rRNA from 1 species